rnacentral:rRNA from 1 species
UACGUAGGGCGCAAGCGUUGUCCGGAUUCACUGGGUGUAAAGGGUGCGCAGGCGGACUGGCAAGUCAGGGGUGAAAUCUCACAGCUCAACUGUGAAACUGCCUUGAUACUGCUGGUCUUGAGUCAGGGAGAGGUUGAUGGAAUUCCAGGUGUAGCGGUGAAAUGCGCAGAUAUCAGGAAGAACACCGGUGGCGAAGGCGGGUCUCUGGGCCGAAUGAUUGACGCUGGAGGAGCGAAAGCGUGGGAGCGAACAGG